rnacentral:rRNA from 1 species
UACGUAGGUGGCGAGCGUUAUCCGGAAUUAUUGGGCGUAAAGGGUGCGUAGGUGGUUUCUUAAGUCAGAGGUGAAAGGCUACGGCUCAACCGUAGUAAGCCUUUGAAACUGGGAAACUUGAGUGCAGGAGAGGAGAGUGGAAUUCCUAGUGUAGCGGUGAAAUGCGUAGAUAUUAGGAGGAACACCAGUUGCGAAGGCGGCUCUCUGGACUGUAACUGACACUGAGGCACGAAAGCGUGGGGAGCAAACAGGAUUAGAUACCCUGGUAGUCCCUGA